rnacentral:tRNA from 1 species
GCCGCGAUAGCUCAGUCGGUAGAGCGCGUCCAUGGUAAGGACGAGGUCUCGGGUUCAAUUCCCGAUCGUGGCUCCA